UACGUAGGGGGCAAGCGUUGUCCGGAAUCAUUGGGCGUAAAGCGCGCGUAGGCGGCCCGGUAAGUCCGCUGUAAAAGUCCAGGGCUCAACCCUGGAAAGCCGGUGGAUACUGUCGGGCUAGAGUCCGGAAGAGGCGAGUGGAAUUCCUGGUGUAGCGGUGGAAUGCGCAGAUAUCAGGAGGAACACCGGUGGCGAAGGCGGGUCUCUGGGCCGAUAUUGACGCUGAGGAGCGAAAGCGUGGGGAGCGAACAGG
rnacentral:rRNA from 1 species